rnacentral:misc_RNA from 1 species
GUUAUCUAUAACCUUUAGGAGUCAAUUGCAUUUUUUAAGAGAUACCAUUUACAAUGUAUGUAUCCAUUGUUAUCCACUUUUCCUAAUUGCCCUUUUCAUGUUUAUUUGAUGCAACCUAUUGAAUUACAUAUUAAGCUAUUGUUUUGUUUGAAACAUUUACAUAUGAAUUACCGGUAAUUUUAAUCGGCUCUUGAUAAAUUAUUGAUUGAUUGUAUGUUUAUUUUGAAUCAUGCAUUUGUCAAUUACAUUGCAGGAUAAAGAUAAUACAUGUAUCUAAAUUGUAUAACUAGUUACUUGUAGUGAGAAAUAAAUUUUAUGAUCAUU